CAAGGAAUAGUUUAAUUAAGAAUACUAGCUUUGGGAGUUAGUGGCGGGGGUUCGAGCCCCCCUUCUUUGA
rnacentral:tRNA from 1 species